rnacentral:rRNA from 1 species
GACAGAGAGUGCAAACGUUGUUCGGAAUUACUGGGCGUAAAGCGCGUGUAGGCGGCUGCGCAAGUCGGAUGUGAAAUCCCAUGGCUCAACCAUGGAAGUGCACCCGAAACUGCGUAGCUAGAGUCUCGGAGAGGAAGGUGGAAUGCUUGGUGUAGAGGUGAAAUUCGUAGAUAUCAAGCAGAACACCGGUGGCGAAGGCGGCCUUCUGGACGAUGACUGACGCUGAGGAGCGAAAGCGUGGGUAGCGAACAGG